rnacentral:rRNA from 1 species
AAAGAUUUAUCGGUUGGGGAUGGACUCGCGGCCUAUCAGCUUGUUGGUGAGGUAAUGGCUCACCAAGGCGACGACGGGUAGCCGGCCUGAGAGGGUGACCGGCCACACUGGGACUGAGACACGGCCCAGACUCCUACGGGAGGCAGCAGUGGGGAAUAUUGCACAAUGGGCGAAAGCCUGAUGCAGCGACGCCGCGUGAGGGAUGACGGCCUUCGGGUUGUAAACCUCUUUCAGUAGGGAAGAAGCCCCUUUUUGGGGUGACGGUACUUGCAGAAGAAGCGCCGGCUAACUACGUGCCAGCAGCCGCGGUAAUACGUAGGGCGCAAGCGUUAUCCGGAAUUAUUGGGCGUAAAGAGCUCGUAGGCGGUUUGUCGCGUCUGCCGUGAAAGUCCGAGGCUCAACCUCGGAUCUGCGGUGGGUACGGGCAGACUAGAGUGAUGUAGGGGAGACUGGAAUUCCUGGUGUAGCGGUGAAAUGCGCAGAUAUCAGGAGGAACACCGAUGGCGAAGGCAGGUCUCUGGGCAUUUACUGACGCUGAGGAGCGAAAGCAUGGGGAGCGAACAGGAUUAGAUACCCUGGUAGUCCAUGCCGUAAACGUUGGGCACUAGGUGUGGGGGACAUUCCACGUUUUCCGCGCCGUAGCUAACGCAUUAAGUGCCCCGCCUGGGGAGUACGGCCGCAAGGCUAAAACUCAAAGGAAUUGACGGGGGCCCGCACAAGCGGCGGAGCAUGCGGAUUAAUUCGAUGCAACGCGAAGAACCUUACCAAGGCUUGACAUGUUCCAGACCGGGCCAGAGAUGGUCUUUCCCCUUUUGGGGCUGGUUCACAGGUGGUGCAUGGUUGUCGUCAGCUCGUGUCGUGAGAUGUUGGGUUAAGUCCCGCAACGAGCGCAACCCUCGUUCCAUGUUGCCAGCGGGUUAUGCCGGGGACUCAUGGGAGACUGCCGGGGUCAACUCGGAGGAAGGUGGGGAUGACGUCAAAUCAUCAUGCCCCUUAUGUCUUGGGCUUCACGCAUGCUACAAUGGCCGGUACAAUGGGUUGCGAUACUGUGAGGUGGAGCUAAUCCCUAAAAGCCGGUCUCAGUUCGGAUUGGGGUCUGCAACUCGACCCCAUGAAGUCGGAGUCGCUAGUAAUCGCAGAUCAGCAACGCUGCGGUGAAUACGUUCCCGGGCCUUGUACACACCGCCCGUCAAGUCACGAAAGUUGGUAACACCCGAAGCCGAUGGCCUAACCACCUUGUGUGGGGGGAGUCGUCGAAGGG